GUCACAGUUUGCCCAGACAUCUUUUUUUAAAUCCGUCAAUCCGUCACCCACACGUCAUUCUGGGGGACGAAGAGGAGGAAGCUGGACAGAUAAAUUUAUUUAUUUAUUUAUCAUUGCUGUGUUUCCUCAAUCGAGUGCAGAAAGAAGAAAAACAACACAACUGAUUUAAAAUAAAAAUAUAGAAAAUAAUCUAAUGUAAGAUUCUGAUCCGGUUUGCUUUCAGCAGGAAGGCUGUCCUCUUUCCUGUUGCUCUUUCUCUUCUAUUAGUCCAUUUGUCCAGUCUGAAUCGGUUUUGAUUCGUUUCGAGACGAUUCGGAGUCGAAUAAUUUUCUAGUGAGAGUCGCACACUUCCAAACGAACUAGACUGAGAUGAGUAUUUGAUUCUCACUAGAAAGUGAUUCGACUCUGAAUAAACUCGAAAUGAAUCAGUCAAACUGAUUCAGACUCUAUAAAAGGACUAUGAGAUGUGAUUAAGAUAUAUAUUCCAAUGUUUUGCUUUACAAUUCCAUUGUGUGUGUGUGUGUGUGUGUGUGUGUGUGCGUGCGCGCGCACGUGUGUUUUUCAGGAGAACGAGAAACUCGGACACAACAGUACAUCCUGACCAUUGGUACUGUGUACACAUCAACAUACACACACGUCUCCAUGCUGGACAUCUCAGGAGCUUUCACACAGUGCUAGGAAUAUCCCGGGACAGAGAAACGCACCUUCUAAAAAUGAUCUUUCGAGGCAGCUUCUUCAUCACUACCUGCUCCGUUUGACUCAAAAAUGUAACGACCGGUUUCAAAAAGUCACGAUGUCUUCAGUUCAUGAGAUUUUACUGUUGAAUUUAAACAGGAAAUGUGAAAUAUUUUUU
ensembl:lncRNA